GAGAAGGCCUGAAAAAAUGUAGAAACUGCUAAUAUCUGCACCUGGGGUUAAAUUCCCCAGCCUACUCA
rnacentral:tRNA from 1 species